rnacentral:lncRNA from 1 species
CUUGGUACCUGUGGGUUAGCAUCAAGUUCUCCCCAGGGUAGAAUUCAAUCAGAGCUCCAGUUUGCAUUUGGAUGUGUAAAUUACAGUAAUCCCAUUUCCCAAACCUAAAAUCUGUUUUUCUCAUCAGACUCUGAGUAACUGGUUGCUGUGUCAUAACUUCAUAGAUGCAGGAGGCUCAGGUGAUCUGUUUGAGGAGAGCACCCUAGGCAGCCUGCAGGGAAUAACAUACUGGCCGUUCUGACCUGUUGCCAGCAGAUACACAGGACAUGGAUGAAAUUCCCGUUUCCUCUAGUUUCUUCCUGUAGUACUCCUCUUUUAGAUCCUAAGUCUCUUACAAAAGCUUUGAAUACUGUGAAAAUGUUUUACAUUCCAUUUCAUUUGUGUUGUUUUUUUAACUGCAUUUUACCAGAUGUUUUGAUGUUAUCGCUUAUGUUAAUAGUAAUUCCCGUACGUGUUCAUUUUAUUUUCAUGCUUUUUCAGCCAUGUAUCAAUAUUCACUUGACUAAAAUCACUCAAUUAAUCAAUGAUACUGUGAGC